rnacentral:tRNA from 1 species
AACCUCGUAGUAUGGUACGUCGACUACUACGUCGAAGGCGUAGGUUCGAUUCUUAUCGAGGUUC